rnacentral:rRNA from 1 species
GCCGUAAAACCCCCUAAAUUUUAUUCUGGUUGACCUCGGAUCAGGUAGGAAUACCCG